UACAGAGGGUGCGAGCGUUAAUCGGAGUUACUGGGCGUAAAGGGUGCGUAGGCUGCGCAGCAAGUUGAGUGUGAAAUCCCUCGGCUCAACCGAGGAACUGCGCCCAAUACUACUGUGCUCGAGGGAGACAGAGGUGAGCGGAACUUAGGGUGGAGCGGUGAAAUGCGUUGAUAUCCUAAGGAACACCCGUGGCGAAAGCGGCUCACUGGGUCUCUUCUGACGCUGAGGCACGAAAGCUAGGGUAGCGAACGGG
rnacentral:rRNA from 1 species